UACGAAGGGGGCUAGCGUUGUUCGGAAUCACUGGGCGUAAAGGGCGCGUAGGCGGUUCGAUAAGUCCCGUGUGAAAUCCCUCGGCUCAACUGAGGAACUGCACGGGAAACUGACGGGCUUGAGUUCGGGAGAGGGAAGCGGAAUUCCGGGUGUAGCGGUGAAAUGCGUAGAUAUCUGGAGGAACACCCGUGGCGAAGGCGGUUCUCUGGAACGCAACUGACGCUGAGACGCGAAAGCGUGGGGAGCAAACAGG
rnacentral:rRNA from 1 species